UACGAAGGGGGCUAGCGUUGCUCGGAAUUAUUGGGCGUAAAGAGCUCGUAGGCGGCUCGUCGCGUCGACCGUGAAAACCCGCAGCUUAACUGCGGGCUUGCGGUUGAUACGGGCGGGCUAGAGUUCGGUAGGGGAGACUGGAAUUCCUGGUGUAGCGGUGAAAUGCGCAGAUAUCAGGAGGAACACCGGUGGCGAAGGCGGCUCACUGGCCCGGUACUGACGCUGAGGCGCGAAAGCGUGGGGAGCAAACAGG
rnacentral:rRNA from 1 species